rnacentral:rRNA from 1 species
CAGUCGCGCGGUAAUACGUAGGGUGCGAGCGUUAAUCGGAAUUACUGGGCGUAAAGCGUGCGCAGGCGGUGAUGUAAGACAGAUGUGAAAUCCCCGGGCUCAACCUGGGAACUGCAUUUGUGACUGGCAAGCUAGAGUGUGGCAGAGGGGGGUGGAAUUCCGCGUGUAGCAGUGAAAUGCGUAGAUAUGCGGAGGAACACCGAUGGCGAAGGCAGCCCCCUGGGCCAACACUGACACUCAUGCACGGAAGCGUGGGGAGCAAACAGGAUUAGAUACCCGAGUAGUCCCUGUCUCUUAUACA